CCCUUAGAUGUUCUGGGCUGCACGCGCGCUACACUGAUGCGAUCAACAAGUUUUUCCUAUGUCGAUAGACACGGGUAAUCUUUUGAACUCGCAUCGUGAUGGGGAUAGAUUAUUGUAAUUAUUAAUCUUCAACGAGGAAUUCCUAGUAGGUGCAAAUCAUCAGUUUGCAUCGAUUACGUCCCUGCCCUUUGUACACACCGCCCGUCGCUGCUACCGAUUGGUUGAUCUGGUGAAUUAUUCGGACUGCCGGCUGAAGGGGUUUCCUCAUCCGCCAGCGGAAAGUCUUGUUAACCCUAUCAACUAGAGGAAGCAGAAGUCGUAACA
rnacentral:rRNA from 1 species